AGCGCAUGCGCAGUGGAGUCCGCUUCCCGUCGCAAAUGUCAGCGACACGGACAAACACUGUCAGACUAUCUCAGCGGUUCAGUGUGAGAAAGAGAAAUGACUGAUCUCUUAAGCGGUGACGUUCAUUUUUAAUAAGAAACAAGUUUAAAGCGGAAGGAAUUGACGGAGAGAUGGAGCAGGAGUUUGAGGAGAUAGAUUCAGAAGGCCGCUGGCAGAACAUUUACUUAGAGAUACGCAACCAGUCGCAUGAAUGUGCAUUCAAAGUGGCCAAGUAUCCAGAGAAUCGCAUUCGAAACCGAUACAGAGACGUGAGUCCAUUUGAUCACAGUCGAGUGAAAUUGGAAAAUACAGAAAAUGACUACAUCAAUGCCAGCCUGGUGGUAAUGGAAGAAGCCCAGAGGAGGUACAUACUUACCCAGGGUCCUCUGAGAAACACAUGUGGUCACUUUUGGCUGAUGAUCUGGGAACAGAAGACCAAAGCAGUCAUCAUGCUUAACAGAGUAAUAGAGAAAGGCUCGGAAAAGUGUGCACAAUAUUGGCCUACACAAGAAGAGAGAGAGAUGUCUUUUCGUGACACCCGCUUUGUGGUUACACUAGUGUCAGAAGAUGUGAAGUCAUAUUACACCACCAGAGUGCUGGAACUCCAGAAUGCAAAUACGGGGGAGACGAGAGAGAUCUAUCACUUUCACUAUACCACAUGGCCUGACUUUGGCGUCCCAGAAUCCCCAGCCAGCUUCCUUAAUUUCCUGUUUAAGGUGCGAGAGUCUGGUUCACUCGGGAUGGACCAGGGACCAGCAGUGGUCCACUGCAGUGCAGGAAUUGGGAGAUCUGGAACAUUCUCUCUGGUCGACACUUGUCUUGUCUUGAUGGACAAAAGGAAAGACCCAUUAUUGGUGGACAUCAAAAAGAUUCUUCUAGAUAUGAGGAAGUACCGGAUGGGUUUGAUUCAGACCCCUGACCAGCUGCGUUUCUCAUAUAUGGCUGUGCUGGAGGGUGCCAAGUACAUUAUGGGAGACUCGUCUGUGCAGAAACAAUGGCGAGAGCUUUCCAGAGAGGACCAAGAGCCCCUGUCUGAGUCUCCCCCUCCGCCGCAGCCCCCUAAAUGCACAGAACGCUACAACGGCAGCAAACCGGCUCAUCUGGAGGAUGGGAUCGACUUAAAGACUGGAAAGAAAACAGGUCCAGAGACCCCCAAUAAAGAACCAGACAGGGAUGCUGGAACACAAGCUCGCAAGCGGCUACGAGAUGAGAAGAUAUCCAACCCUACGCAGAAGACCCAGAAGCAGACGAAACCCAGGAUCAAUGACCCUGAUAAAAAAAGAAAAAGUCUGGGCUGUAUUUGCUGUACGUGACACAGCGAGUGCUGCCCUGUUGGGAAUCCUCCCUAAUGAGGCAGCAGUGGUGCAUCUGCAGGAUUUUUGUAAAGACGAGCUCGACCAGGCUCCUCAAAAUCCUCAGGCUAGCGAGAACAACCAGUGACUCCUAACUCCAUGGCAACCUCAGCAAGAGAUCUCCAUCCCAUAACGCUCCCCCCGUCCCACCCCUGUGUUUUCAAAGCCGUUUACAGCACGAACUCCUCGACAAGGUUUCUCCACUCCGAACAACAGCACACACACCAGCACUAUAUCAGUGGACGAAACUCAAUAAUAUCAAGAGGACCGCAUCGCAUCGCCAUGGUUUGGAUUGCUUUUUAAUUUUGUCGGACAUAUCGUCUUUUCUGUUUAUUUAGCUUUUUGUUUUGUUGGGGGAUGAAAAAGCAGCAGGAUCUGAAAGAAGGUCUACGCGUUUCUAAUGCUGUUCACACAUUGUAUUUUUAGACGACUUUUUUUCAAAGGCAAAAUGAAAUGCUCUAUUUUUUAUAUGAAAUUACUUGAAAUUUCCUAUCAUAUCUACAGGGCUGUAAUGCUCAGAUUCAGUUUUUGAGAUUAUUAGAUGACGUCCUAUUGACGCGUGAUCACAUCGUGUACAUAGUCUACCUUCUGAGAUGUAAAAAAACAAAACCAAUAAUAAUAAUAAUAAGAUUGUACAAAGUGAUAAAGACAUUGCGUUAGGUGAAGACACACAGAACAAGCCAGCAGUGUCUGAUGUUGAAGAGUCUUACUAUUCUUAAUUCAGGAGUAGGAUCCAUGAAAUAAAACUGCUACUAUUUUUUUUUUCUGUAACAAUGUGUUGCUUCAUUCAUUCCCCCC